rnacentral:rRNA from 1 species
GACGAACGCUGGCGGCGUGCCUAAUACAUGCAAGUCGAACGCAGUGGGGACGGGUGAGUAACACGUUGGUAACCUCCCAUCAGAGGGGAUAACACUUGGAAACAGGUGCUAAACCGAUACUGAUGGAUGGACCCGCGGUGCAUUAGCUAGUUGGUGAGGUAACGGCUCACCACGGCCACGAUGCAUCGCCGACCUGAGAGGGUGAUCCGCCCAACUGGGACUGAGACACGGGCCAGACUCCUACGGGAGGCAGCAGUAGGGAAUCUUCGGCAAUGGACGAAAUGCUGAACGAGCAACGGCGCGUGAGUGAAGAAGGUUUUCGGAUCGUAAAACUCUGGUGGUAGAGAAGCGGUAUCUAACCAGAAAGCCACGGCUAACUACGUGCCAGCAGCCGCGGUAAUUC